rnacentral:rRNA from 1 species
UACGGAGGGUGCAAGCGUUGCUCGGAAUCACUGGGCGUAAAGGGCGUGUAGGCGGUCUCGUAUGUCUGACGUGAAAGCCCCGGGCUCAACCCGGGAAGUGCGUUGGAAACUGCGAGACUGGAGUCUCGGAGAGGAAGGUGGAAUUCCAGGUGUAGCGGUGAAAUGCGUAGAUAUCUGGAAGAACACCGGUGGCGAAGGCGGCCUUCUGGACGAUGACUGACGCUGAGACGCGAAAGCGUGGGGAGCAAACAGG